rnacentral:piRNA from 1 species
UUGCCAUGAUGAGGUUGGAUAAUGGGU